CGGUCGCAGAGUAUAAAGGCAAAAGCGCGCUUGACUGCGAGACAGACACGUCGAGCAGGUACGAAAGUAGGUCUUAGUGAUCCGGUGGUUCUGUAUGGAAGGGCCAUCGCUCAACGGAUAAAAGGUACUCCGGGGAUAACAGGCUGAUACCGCCCAAGAGUUCAUAUCGACGGCGGUGUUUGGCACCUCGAUGUCGGCUCAUCACAUCCUGGGGCUGAAGCCGGUCCCAAGGGUAUGGCUGUUCGCCAUUUAAAGUGGUACGCGAGCUGGGUUUAGAACGUCGUGAGACAGUUCGGUCCCUAUCUGCCGUGGACGUUUGAGAUUUGAGAGGGGCUGCUCCUAGUACGAGAGGACCGGAGUGGACGAACCUCUGGUGUUCCGGUUGUCACGCCAGUGGCAUUGCCGGGUAGCUAUGUUCGGAAAAGAUAACCGCUGAAAGCAUCUAAGCGGGAAACUUGCCUCAAGAUGAGAUCUCACUGGGAACUUGAUUCCCCUGAAGGGCCGUCGAAGACUACGACGUUGAUAGGCUGGGUGUGUAAGCGUUGUGAGGCGUUGAGCUAACCAGUACUAAUUGCCCGUGAGGCUUGACCA
rnacentral:rRNA from 1 species